AACCUUUUACUCUACUGUAAAAUGCAAAAUAAACAACCAGAAUUUAAGAUUAUCUAAUGGCAUUAAUUUAAAGUAUUUUUAGCGGCGAAUUUUGAUAAACAUUUGAUUAAUUUUGAUAAUUAUCAUAUUGGUAUGCAGUUUUAAUAAAAACACAUUUUUGUUUAUAUGUGUAUUAUGUUUUUUAUUUUUGUCCACAAAUCCAUAUUAUAUCGACACACUGUGCGUCGAGACAAUAUGGAUUUGUAGAAGGAAGAGGGAUCACCGAUGCUAUAAUGUGGCUUACCUCAGACCGUCAAAGGCAUUGACGAUCAUGAAAAGGUCGGCGAGUCGUCUGUAUUUCUUACAACUUUGAACCAUAAUUUUGUAUGUGAGAUUUAUUUUCGUCUUAAUAUUUAUUACCUGAAAGCUUGCGGAUUCCUAGUAUUAAGUAACAAGUAAGUUGUUUUGGCGCAAACCAAAUAAUAAAAUAUUAUAAAUAAAAUGAUUAGCUGAUUAUUAAUAGUUAUCAAAUGAGAAUGAUAAACUGAAUGCUGAAUUAGUGAACAGGAAUAAGUAUUUCCCCGCAUUAAGAGAAACCUAAUAAUAUAAAUAUUAUUAGUUUAAUAUAUAAAGCAUGCACAAAAAUUAACGAGACAGACUACAGAAAUCUUUAAAUCCUUUGAUUACAUUUCACACAUAAAAUAUGAGUCAGUUAAAGCUAAUGAUCAUUUUAGUUAUAAGUCUUUUAGCGAGUACUAUUGGCGGAAAUUUAAUUAAGAAUGGUGUAGAGCAAAUAAGAGUUAAGAGAUCCUGUAUAGAGAACAUUUUUGUAGAAAAGUUUUCAGCUUGUAAUCUACACUGUCUCGCGCAUGGAAAAAAAGGUGGAUUUUGUAAUAAGCACUACGUAUGUCAAUGUAAAAAUUAAAUACAAAAUCAAUGUUGUUUUGCUUUGAUUAUAUUUUUUAGAAAAUAA